rnacentral:rRNA from 1 species
GACGAGGGGUCCUAGCGUUGUUCGGAAUCAUUGGGCGUAAAGCGUGUGUAGGUGGCUAUUCAAGUCAGUUGUGAAAGCCCCGGGCUUAACCCGGGAAGUGCUUCUGAUACUGUUUAGCUUGAGUACUGGAGAGGAUAGUAGAAUUCCAGGUGUAGUGGUGAAAUACGUAGAUAUCUGGAGGAAUACCGGUGGCGAAGGCGGCUAUCUGGCCAUGUACUGACGCUGAGACACGAAAGCAUGGGUAGCAAACAGG